rnacentral:misc_RNA from 1 species
GUGCGAAGGGACGGUGCGGAGAGGAGAGCAC